rnacentral:tRNA from 1 species
UUUAAUAUGGCAGAAUAGUGCAAUGAAUUUAAGCUUCAUUAAUAAAAUUUAUUUAAUUUUUAUUAAAA